rnacentral:rRNA from 1 species
AGAGUUUGAUCCUGGCUCARAACGAACGCUGGCGGCGUGYUUAACACRUGCAAGUCGAACGGAAUUAGGGGCUUGCUCCUAAUUUAGUGGCGCACGGGUGAGUAACGCGUGGAUAACCUACCCUGGUAUCUGGGAUAACAUCUCGAAAGGGGUGCUAAUACCGGAUAAGCCCACGGGAACUUUGGUUCUUGCGGGAAAAGGUGGCCUCUAUUUAUAAGCUACUGUAUCAGGAUGGGUCCGCGUACCAUUAGCUAGUUGGKAGUGUAAUGGACUACCAAGGCUACGAUGGUUAGCUGGUCUGAGAGGAUGAUCAGCCACACUGGAACUGAGACACGGUCCAGACUCCUACGGGAGGCAGCAGUGGGGAAUUUUGCGCAAUGGGGGAAACCCUGACGCASCAACGCCGCGUGAGUGAUGAAGGCCUUCGGGUCGUAAAGCUCUGUCAGAGGGGAAGAAGUGUAUGGGUGCUAAUACCAUCUAUACUUGACGGUACCCUCAAAGGAAGCACCGGCUAACUCCGUGCCAGCAGCCGCGGUAAUAC